rnacentral:lncRNA from 1 species
AGCGCACACACACUUCUGUGCGUGUGGAACGGUCUCACCCAGACGACCCCCCUCCCCCAAAGGAAAUCGAGAUAUUCCUCUAGGGCUAGAGGGGACAACUGGUUUUGUGGGACAGGAGGAAGGAAAACGGCGACAGACAGCACUCCCUGUCACUUCUAAAAGAGAAGAGGGACAGGUUCCUUCACACCUAGCAAAGAUCCUCCGAUUCUGGAAGCAGGGGGAGCGGAACUUAGGGUACCUCUCUCCCACAACUAGAAUGGACAGGCCAGAGGACAGUCAUAGCGGUUUCCUUAAGGCUCACCAAAGGCAGCCGCUCCGGAUCCGGAUCUCCACCUCCGCCCCGCCCCUCAAUACUCCCAGGUGAUUGACAGUGCGGAGACCAAUGGGAGGCACUCUUGGCCGACCUACCCAGCGGCGCCGGGGCGUCUGUGAUUGGGAAGGUGAGGAAAGCGCUGCAGGAAGAGUUCUCUGCAGGAUGCUGGGUGAGAUCAAAGGGAGAGCUUCUGCCACCACCUCCUACUUGGUGUGUGCGGGGGCCGGCACAAAGACCAUCUCUGCCUCUGCCUUCCCCUGCUCCUAGCCAGGGUCAGCUCUUCUCUCUGACGCGGAAUACAGAGCUGGACAACCUCUGCCUCGGCCCUCUCCAUCCGUAAAUAAAGACUAGAACCACCCCCACUCUGCACUCUCCCCCUCUAUGGAUCAGGAAUAUUUGUUUUUUCUGCUCCUCUCAAUAUGGACUGGGCCCGCUCCUGAUUCCUCCCACCCUUACCUCUCAACACAAACCAGUACCUCCUCUUCUUUUGCAUCUCAUCCUCAAGGGACACUACUGAAAACCUGUGUGGAAUCAAAGCUCACCGGAGACAGCUGUGGCCAUUGUGCCUAUAACGCCAACACCAGGCAUAUCCUGGAGCCUCAGCUGGAGAAUUUACCUGUCUUGGACAACCUGCCACAAAACUGUGCCCACAUCUAGUUCCAUCUGGUCAUCAGGGCGUCUCUCUUUCUUACACCCAUAACACACAAUCCCCACUUCCGCGCCAGUGUUCAUGAGAAGUGAAAAGGAAGAGGGAAGAGAGGGCUUGUUGGGAGGACAGAGGGGAUGGGGCAGAGUGGGAUUCCUAGCAGGUUCUGGCUGGUGACAAGCUCUUCCCCCAGCCCCCUUGCCAUACCCAGUUCUGGAACAGUUCCUUAUACAGGAGGGAUGGGUAGUCCCCUAGGCCCACCUUUCCAAGGCUGGAGGUGGGCCAAAGCCAGGACUCUGUCCUUCCCACAUACUGUGUGCAUACAUGGCUGUGACUGGGGUGCAGGGGAGAGAAGGGGGUAUAAUAGGCCCAUAGUGACUAAUUAAGUUUCUUCCUCAACCCUGGGGCCCCUGGUGGUGUGAAUGUGGUGCCAAGUAGAUUGGCUGGUGCCUCUGCCCUUCCUAGAGAUAGCAACUGGGCCCUGGGGUACAACGAAGGUGAGGGUGGGGAGUGAUUGCUGUGUUGGCUCCUCCAAAGCCCUGGGGCUCUCAGAGUAACCCCCAGAAACACCCAGAGCCAAUAACUACAAAAAUAAAGAGUUUAUUUCCUAUCCAAAA